rnacentral:tRNA from 1 species
GCAUUAGUAGCUCAGUUUAGAGCGCCGGUCUUGUAAACCGGAGGUCGAGGGUUAAAAUCCCUCCUGCUGCU